rnacentral:rRNA from 1 species
GUGAAGCGGCAAGAGACUCAGAUUUGAAAUCUCACCUAGUGUGCGAGUUGUAAAUUGCAGGUUGGAGUCUCGGGUUAGACGUGUGUGCAAGUCCCUUGGAACAGGGUGCCACUGAGGGUGAGAGCCCCGUAUCGUGCAUGUCGACACCUGUGAGGCCCUUCUGACGAGUACGAGUUGUUUGGGAAUGCAGCUCUAAGUGGGUGGUAAAUUCCAUCUAAGGCUAAAUAUUGGCGAGAGACCGAUAGCGAACAAGUACUGUGAAGGAAAGAUGAAAAGCACUUUGAAAAGAGAGUGAAACAGCACGUGAAAUUGUUGAAAGGGAAGGGUAUUGGGCUCGACAUGGGAUUUACGCAUCGUUGCCUCUCGUGGGCGGCGCUCUGGGUUUUUCCUGGGCCAGCAUCGGUUUUCGUUGCAGGAUAAGGACAAUUGGAAUGUGGCUCCUCGGAGUGUUAUAGCCUUUUGUAGAUGCUGACGUAUGGGGACCGAGGGCUGCGGCGGACUCGUUUCGUCUCGGAUGCUGGCACAACGGCGCAAUACCGCGUCUGA